rnacentral:lncRNA from 1 species
CUUCUGCGUAUAUAAGUUUAUGUGAAAGUUCUUUUAUGAUCAUGUAUGCUAUCUCUUAGGAUUUGGUUGGAUUUGUAGUUAAAUUCUAUUUAGAUUAGAAUGGAAAUUUAAAUAUGUAAGCGAUAAAUUAAUUAAGUAGGACUUAAUUUAAAGUAGAAUUAGAAAUUCUAAAUAUUGGUGAGUUCGAAUUAGUAUACUAGAACAUGUGUGGUACAAUUUGGUGGUGCGCAUACAUGCAUGUGAGAGCAUUGAUAUUCUCUGUCCGUACGAGGUGGGAGAGAGAGAGACUUUGCACCUCUAUGCACGGGUGCAUGGCUCCGAUUUCAACGAGAUGAGAGCAGGGAUGAUAUUCAAAAUUUUAUCCGAAUUAGAAUCUUAACAAAGUGGAUUUAUAUGUUACCAAAUCGAUAUAAUUCCGGAUUCGGAUAUGAAAAAUAAAAAUUCAACGGAUUUGUAUUCUGAUAUGAAUUCUGUCUGCAUCCGAUCCAAACCCGAAUCGAAACCCGAUUUGAACCCAAAUUGAUUUUAUUAGAGAGAGAGAGAGAGAGAGAGAGAGAGAGAGCAGGGUGACUAUAUUUUUGGAAGCAUAAGAGAGUACGUGCUUCUAACAUUUUGGCCCUUAGAUCAAACACUUUGACCAUUUGUGAUCUCUAGAUUAAUAUUAUUAUCCUAAAGGAAUCACUCAAUCCUAGAAAGACUAUUAUCAUUCCCAGCCUACAAUUUUUUAUUCAAGGGCUAAAAAGUCGAAAGUAUCAACUCUCUAUUAGGAGUACAGUAGCUCUUAUGCUCCUAACUAUAUAUUUAUAUAGUAGGGCUGAAUUUUUUGUCGGGUUUGAUUUUGGGUAUGGAUUUUUAAAAUUCGUUGGUUUCGGAUUCUGGCUUGGAUUUGGAUUUUGGAUUUGAUAGUCGGGUUCGGGUUCUGAUUUUUAAAAACCUACCGGUUGGAAUUCAAACCGUUGACAUCCUUACAAGAUAGAGAGGAAAGAAAUUCAAAAAAUGGGUUAAGUUUGAAAUUGCUCUGUACAAGAAAAGCAAAUGGGUUCACUUGGUUAGCAAAUCUAAUUUCAGCUAUAUUUUUUUAUUUAAUUUUUUCUCUUUUUUAUAAUUAUGGGCUUUUGCUGAGAAAGCCCAGUUGGAUGUUUUUGUUAGAUUAUUUUAACGAUCGGUAUCAAAAUAGAUACUCUUUUUUUUUUUUGAGAGAUAGGUAGCACGCUACCCACUUCAUUUAUUUUAUUUAGAAAUAAAUUUAGCUAGAAAUAUUAGUGACCUCAACUAGGAUUCGAACUUGGAACCUCAGGUACCAACCACCAAGCCCUUUGCCACUUGUUCUAGAGACAGCCGGUGGUAUCGAAAUAGAUACUAAACUUACAAUAAUUAGUAUCAGAGUAGAUUACGGAUUUCCAACACUAACAUAUACACCAGUUUAAUACUCGCUGCACAUCCCUCGAAAAAUUUCAU